UUUUCGUCUGCAGAAAAGAGGAUGAGGACCUCCGAAAGAGGUUUGAGCCGAGCGUAGCGAGACAACGUUGCUUCAGCAACGGCCCGCAGGGCGCGGCUCGCAGAGCAGUGUAAUCCUCUCUCGCCGACCA
rnacentral:sRNA from 1 species